AUGCUCCCAUUGUUGGCUCCCGUUGAUGCAUCCAUUAUGUCUAGGUUGAUGGGAACAGAUUAUGUUGGUUGCUGUCAUUGAGGGGCUCAUCGCUGUCAUGACAUUGAUGCUGCCUCCCUGAGGGAGCUGAUGAAAAAAAGACAUUACGUUUUAUAUAUUGUCCGAAUAAAUUAUCGAGUGGGCACACCCGUUGUCCUAUAAGUUUAAUUGCCAUCAACAGAAGCUGCUAGUUAAUAGAAGAGCAAAUAGUUGAAUAUUUUUUCAACUGAUCAAAAUGAUCUAAGUGAGUCGACAAAAGUGAUCUUAAGCCUUAUUGUUUCAUCAACCACAGUAGUUAACUGGUCAGCUACCACCGCAACUAGACUAACGAUGUUGUUGAUCGCUAGAGAUCUAUCAGCAUCGGAUUAUAUAUCCACUGAGAUACUUAGCAUAUUACAGGAAUAACUAUAAGUAGACAGACCUCAUCUGUCAUCUGAACCUGUCAAGCAUUUUCUUCACCAUAAAGAAAAAUCUGGAGGUAGAGAACUAAUGGUACUUCUCAGACUAGGCGUGUUUUCUUUAAUUUGCAAACUUGGAUCUGUUUUCAUGGG